AUUCCCCUUUGUUGUAAGACUCAAGGAAUUUGGGUCUUUGGGGUCCCCAGGGAAGGUUUUUGGGGGGACCAGAGUGCCCCAAAACACUCUAAUUUUUUGGGUGGUGGCAGCUUUACCAGGUCCAAGCUGGUAACUAAGCUUGGAGGUUUUCAUGCUAACACCCAUAUUUUGGACGCUAAGGUCCAAAUCUGGGAAUUAUGUUAUGACAAGGUCCAUUCCUGGAUGAUGCCCCAGGAGCCUUGCACCCUCCAGAUGACAUCAACCCCACUGAGUACCUGUUCAGAUGAGCCCGCUGCUGGGAGAUCCCACUCUGAUAUUAAGUAAGAGCUGUGCAUGGAUUUCGUUUUCAUGAGAGUGACACACCAACAGGACUGGCACCAGUCAGGGUCACAUAUGUUGGAACAUGUUUUGCCCUGGCUUUCUCUGCAAACAGGAAAUAACAGUUCUGCUGCAGCCCUGUGGUAUGAAAGCUCAUUACCAGGAAGAACUUCAGUGCAGUUAACAUCUCGU
rnacentral:lncRNA from 1 species